rnacentral:rRNA from 1 species
UUAGAGUUUGAUCCUGGCUCAGGAUGAACGCUAGCGGGAGGCUUAACACAUGCAAGUCGAGGGGUAACAGAGGUAGCAAUACUUGCUGACGACCGGCGUACGGGUGAGUAACGCGUAUGCAACCUGCCCUAUACAGGAGGAUAGCCCGAAGAAAUUCGGAUUAAUACUCCAUGCAGCAUAUUUUUCGCAUGAUAAAUAUGUUAAAGAUUUAUCGGUAUAGGAUGGGCAUGCGUCCCAUUAGUUAGUUGGUGAGGUAAUGGCUCACCAAGGCUUCGAUGGGUAUGGGGUCUAAAAGGAUGGUCCCACACACUGGCACUGAGACACGGGCCAGACUCCUACGGGAGGCAGCAGUGAGGAAUAUUGGUCAAUGGGCGAGAGCCUGAACCAGCCAUCCCGCGUGCAGGAUGACAGUCCUAGUGAUUGUAAACUGCUUUUCUAUAAGAUGAAUAAGGACUACGUGUAGUUCGAUGACCGUAUUAUAGGAAUAAGCAUCGGCUAACUCCGUGCCAGCAGCCGCGGUAAUACGGAGGAUGCAAGCGUUAUCCGGAUUUAUUAGGUUUAAAGGGUGCGUAGGUGGGCGUUUAAGUCAGUGGUUAAAGCCAAUAGCUUAACUAUUGUAUGCCAUUGAAACUGGAUGUCUUGAAUAGGGUAGAGGUAGGCGGAAUGUGUUGUGUAGCGGUGAAAUGCUUAGAUAUAACACAGAACACCGAUUGCGAAGGCAGCUUACUAUGCCUUUAUUGACACUGAUGCACGAAAGCGUGGGGAUCAAACAGGAUUAGAUACCCUGGUAGUCCACGCUGUAAACGAAUGAUCCCUCGUUUUUGGCGGUGCGUCGUCUGCGGCUGGGCGGGGGCGUUUUGUGUUCCUCCUGGGGGGUGCGUUCGCGCGGGUGGUGCUCUCCGGAGUUGUCGGGGGCCCGCCCCCGCGGCGGGGCGUGUGGUUUUUUUCGUUGGUGCGCGCGGGGCCUUCCCUGGGCUUGGGUGUGUUGUGCGUGCUUUGGGGGCGUCUUUUUCCUUCGGGGCUCUUUUCUCGGUGCUGCGUGGUUGUCGUCUGCUCGUGCCGCGGGGUGUCGGG